UUCGCAUCGGUCACUAUUUUCGGUAUUUUCGGUUAUCAUUUCGGUGGCUGCAUUCCGUAUCGGUGACGUUCGACGUUUGAUAGUUCAUCAAAUAGUACACUGAAAACAAUUCCAUGUUAAAUUAACCAUGCAUUCCAAUGCAUUCGGACAAAUUCACCACUGAUUCAGCUAAUGUAACAACAUUCCACCAGGACCACAGUUGAUUUUUACUGCGCGCAUGGUAAAAUUAAACGGGUUUGUUGUCUGCUGAAAAUCGUCGGUGCGUAUUCUUAAAUUAACCCUCGGAAUGGUAGUUUCGACCGCAACAUUUUUUUGCGUGUAGCGCUGUUAUUUGGUCAAUUUGGUCACCUGUCAGCUGCGCUACUGUUUUAGCAGCGCGUUUAGUAGCGACCGGUAAAGUGUCAAGUAAUGAUACUGCGCUGACAAACGGUUAAUACUCACCACCGAAAUGAAGCUUAUGAUAAAUAAAAUACUGCUGCUUGCUGGUCACUGAUUGAAGAUCGUUCAGUGGCUACCAUUGGCCAAUCUCAUCAACGGGAUGUAAUAAGAACUGAUGCAGGUUUAUAUCUAUAUGUAUUGUCUAUUCGGAACAAAGUUAGUACGCUUUUUAAACCGAUGUUGGAUUUUUCUCCAGAUACAGGCAACCCACUUAACUUUGGAAGUAGUGCGCUGGAUUCGUCUAAAGAUAUGCUAAACAACCGGAGGAAAAUAAAAUAAUUUGUAAAACAAUUAAUUGUAUUGUAUUUUUAUUGUAAUAUUGGAGUAUAAUGUAUUCUAAAUCCUGUUGUAUUUCUAUUGUAAAACAAUAGAAACAGUAAUUGAAAACAUU